rnacentral:rRNA from 1 species
UGGAGGGCAAGUCUGGUGCCAGCAGCCGCGGUAAUUCCAGCUCCAAUAGCGUAUAUUAAAGUUGUUGCAGUUAAAAAGCUCGUAGUUGAAUUUCGGGAUCAAUAUGUCGGUCGUGCCUUCGGUACGUACUGGUAUCAUUGGUCUCUCCUUUCUGACGAACCAUGAUGUCAUUAAUUUGGUGUUAUGGGGAGUUAGGACUGUUACUUUGAAAAAAUUAGAGUGUUUAAAGCAGGCUUUAGCUUGAAUACAUUAGCAUGGAAUAAUGGAAUAGGACGUUCGAACCUAUUUUGUUGGUUUCUAGGAUCAACGUAAUGAUUAAUAGGGAUAGUUGGGGGCGUUAGUAUUCAAUUGUCAGAGGUGAAAUUCUUGGAUUUAUUGAAGACUAACUACUGCGAAAGCAUUUGCCAAGGAUGUUUUCAUUAAUCAAGAACGAAAGUUAGGGGAUCGAAGACGAUCAGAUACCGUCGUAGUCUUAACCAUAAACUAUGCCGACUAGGGAUCGGAUGAUGUUAAUUUUUUAAUGACUCAUUCGGCGCCUUACGGGAAAC